rnacentral:ncRNA from 2 species
AAUUGAAUAUCUCUCCGAGCCUUUCUUCCUAAAGGUUUUACCUAUGGAGACUGGCCGACAGGGUGCCACUGAAAACGAUGGCGCCUCCCGUGUUCGGAAAGGAGAGUUGCUUUGAUUAAA